ACGGGAGGCAGCAGUGGGGAAUAUUGCACAAUGGGCGAAAGCCUGAUGCAGCGACGCCGCGUGAGUGAAGAAGUUAUUCGUAACGUAAAGCUCUAUCAGCAGGGAAGAAAAUGACGGUACCUGACUAAGAAGCCCCGGCUAACUACGUGCCAGCAGCCGCGGUAAUACGUAGGGGGCAAGCGUUAUCCGGAUUUACUGGGUGUAAAGGGAGCGUAGACGGCGAAGCAAGUCUGAUGUGAAAGGCAGGGGCUCAACCCCUGGACUGCAUUGGAAACUGUUUGGCUAGAGUGCAGGAGAGGUAAGUGGAAUUCCUAGUGUAGCGGUGAAAUGCGUAGAUAUUAGGAGGAACACCAGUGGCGAAGGCGGCUUACUGGACUGUAACUGACGUUGAGGCUCGAAAGCGUGGGGAGCAAACAGGAUUAGAUACCCUGGUA
rnacentral:rRNA from 1 species